rnacentral:misc_RNA from 1 species
UGUUAGUUCUCUAGACACUAUUUUUAUUCCUAAAACUAUUGUUGAGGCAUUGUCCCAUCCUAACUGGCGUGCUACAAUGUAAGAGAAUAUGGCAGCUUUAGAUACUAAUGGUACUUAGGAAUUGGUGCAUCUGCCUCUUGAUAAGAAAGCUAUUGGAUGUAAAAGAGGGUUUUACAGUGAAAAUGAACCCCAAUGGUACUGUGGCUUGUCUCAAGGCUAGCCUUGUAUGUAACACCCCU